UACGUAGGGGGCAAGCGUUGUCCGGAAUCAUUGGGCGUAAAGAGCGUGUAGGCGGCCCGGUAAGUCCGUUGUGAAAGUCCAGGGCUCAACCCUGGAAAGCCGAUGGAUACUGCCGGGCUAGAGUUCGGAAGAGGCGAGUGGAAUUCCUGGUGUAGCGGUGGAAUGCGCAGAUAUCAGGAGGAACACCUAUAGCGAAGGCAGCUCGCUGGGACGACACUGACGCUGAGACGCGAAAGCGUGGGGAGCGAACAGG
rnacentral:rRNA from 1 species